CUAUGUAGACGCUUACUAUAAACUACAUGGCUACCCCAAGGAAAAUAAAAACCGUGUGAGGGGAAAGGGAGUCGUGGCGAACCAGGCAUCAACAGAAGAGGGCGCUGAAACAAACGAAAUAGGGAAUUGCAAUGUGAUAACCUAGAGGCAGUUUACUCAACUCAUGUCAUUGCUGUAACAGAAUACUGCCACUGUUAAUAUAGUGCAAUCUCGUGUUUAUGUCAAUGCAGAUACCAAGCAGAGGGAUUAAUAUAUGUACGAUGAAAGCAGAGGGAUUAAAAACAGUCCCUUGGGUAAUAGACAUAGGGUCUUCAGACAUGGAAGACGAUUGGAGUAGGUAGACAAGAGCAUGGGUUGUAUAGUUUGCAGCAGAAAAAGGGAUAUUUUUUAUGAAGGACAGUAUGCUCUUGCAGCGGAUGGAAUCCAAGAGGGUGGACUAAAAUCUGAUUUUGAAUUAUGGCAUUAUCGGCUAAAACAGCAAGUGUACAUGAGUUUUCUUGGUCAAAAGUAAAUCUAAAGCAGGACCAGCACUACAAAGCUUUCAUGUUUGGGUGGAAACACAAUUUGGGGCAAGGAUCAAAGUAUGAGAAGUGAUAAUGGUAAGGAAUUUUUAAUGCAGGAUUUCCACUCAAAGAAAGGUAUAAUAUAUCAAAGAAGCUCUGUAGAGACGCCUCGGCAAAAUGGGACAGUUGAAAGGAAGCACCAGCAGAUUCUUAACAUUGCUGGGGCUUUAAAAUUUCAAAGUGGUUUAGAACUAUAAUUUUGGGGUGAUUUUAUUCUAACAGCUGUGUAUAUUAUGAACAGGGUCCCUUCAUCUGCAAUAUAGAAUAGAACCCCAUUUAAGAAGCUGUACAGGAGAAAAUUGAUCUACACACACAUGAAGGAUUUUGGGUGCCUGGCAUUUGCUUCAACCUUGACAAGUAAUCGGCACAAAUUUGACCCGAGGGCAAAGAAGUUUGUAUUUCUUGGCUAGCCACCUAGAACUAAGGGAUACAAGCUGUUAUACAUGGAAAAUGGUAAAAUACUUACAUCAAGAAAUGCUGUGUUUCGUGAGUGGAUAAUGCCUUACAAGACAAAGAAAAAUGAUGAAAUAAUUAUAGGAGAGCAAGAGCAGAUGAUUCCUGGAUUAGAAAUCAACAGAGAGUACAGACAUGUGAUUGAGACAAAAAUGGGACAAGAGAAAGUAACAAUACAGCAAGUGAAGAAGAAGGAAUUCAAGCAGAACCAAAUGAAAAUGCUUCUGAAAUUGAGAGAAGUGAAGAGAACCAGGAAGAAGACUGCAUGGCAGAAAGGACAGAUUUGCUGAUUAGACCGAGAAGGUCAAAGUAGAGAAAGAAAGAUCCCUGUUUGGCUAAGGGAUUACAUUCACGGAGAGGCAAUGAAUGUGGCUAAAAACCAGAUAGCAGAGAAAAACUCACAAGAGACUAGAGGAACCAAGAAGUUAUCAAGAGGCCUGCAGAGAUCCUAGACGGGUGGCUGCAGUGAAGAAUGAAAUAGAAGCCCUAGAAAGAAGUGGAAUCUGGAUGCUUACUCAUUUUCCGCCCAAUAAAAGAGUUGUGGGAUGCAAGUGGGUCUACAAAGUCAAGCAUAAUGCUGAUGGAACAGUGGAGAGGUUUAAGGCAAGACUUGUUGUGAAGGGGUAUAUGUAAAGAGAAGGAUUGGAUUAUAAUGAAAUAUUCUCACCGGUGGCAAAAAUCACCAUGAAUAAUUUGGAGACAAUAGAAGAGUUGAAAUCAGCACUUGAUGAACAAUUCAAGAUCAAGGACCUAGAAAAACUCAAGUACUUCCUGGUUAUAGAGCUUGUCAGGUCAAAGGAAGGGAUUUACAUCUGCCAAAGAAGGUAUGCAAUUGAUCUUUUAAUAGAGGUUGGAUUGACAGGGUCAAAACCCUCAAAGAUACCUCUAGAGCAGAAUUUAAAAUUAUCAAAGGGUGAU